UACGAAGGGGGCUAGCGUUGUUCGGAGUUACUGGGCGUAAAGGGCGCGUAGGCGGCGCACCAAGUCAGGCGUGAAAGCCCUGGGCUCAACCCGGGAAUUGCGCUUGAGACUGGUGUGCUUGAGUACGGGAGAGGAUAGUGGAAUUCCCAGUGUAGAGGUGAAAUUCGUAGAUAUUGGGAAGAACACCGGUGGCGAAGGCGGCUAUCUGGACCGUAACUGACGCUGAGACGCGAAAGCGUGGGGAGCGA
rnacentral:rRNA from 1 species